AUGGCGGCCAACUUCUGGACGUCGUCGCACAGCAAGCAGCUGCUGGACCCGGAGGAGGUGGACGUGGUGCCGGCGCAAGACCGGGAGCGGGGCGUCACGCCCGUGGAGUUCCGCCUCGUCAAGAUCCACAUGUCCUUCCAUAUAUGGCGGUUGGCCCAGCAGGUCAAAGUUAGACAAAGAGUCAUAGCUACUGCAAUCACGUACUUCAGGUGUGUGUACACAAGAAAGAGCAUGACAGAGUAUGAUCCUCGUUUGGUAGCACCAGCUUGUUUGUAUUUGGCAUCAAAGGUAGAGGAAAGCACAGUGCAAGCAAGGCUUCUUGUAUUUUACAUAAAGAAGAUGUGUGGUUCGGAUGACAAGUACCGAUUUGAAAUCAAAGAUAUCCUUGAAAUGGAAAUGAAGCUCCUGGAAGCACUUGACUAUUAUUUGGUUGUUUACCAUCCAUACCGUCCUCUUCUACAGUUAUUGCAGGAUGCUGGCAUAACAGAUCUGACACAAUUUGCCUGGGGCCUCGUCAAUGAUACUUACAAGAUGGAUCUCAUUCUCAUAUAUCCUCCUUAUAUGAUUGCAUUGGCCUGCAUAUACAUUGCAAGCGUUCUUAAAGAUAAGGACACAACCUCAUGGUUUGAAGAACUCCGUGUUGACAUGAACAUUGUUAAGAAUAUCUCAAUGGAAAUCUUGGACUUCUACGACACCUACAAGAUUGAUCCUCAAAGGGGCCUCCAGGAGGAUAAGAUCAUCCCUGUGAUGAACAAGUUGCCAUCAAAGGCCUGA
rnacentral:rRNA from 1 species